UGCUCGGGGUCGCAACGCUGUCUUUGGGCGGACGGUCGGCUGCCCGCUGCUCGCUGGGGUCUGCGCGGCGCCGGCCUCUGCGCUUUCUGUCCGCCCUUACCCUGUAGCUCUAAGAUACCGCUCUGCAGCUUCGGCUCCUGGCCGUCCCCGGAGUGCAGACGGCGAGCGAUGCCGCUCCCGGCCCGAGGCUGCGGGCGCGGGGCCGCGUGUGCGCGGGAGGCGAGCCUCCGUCUCGCACGACUUUUCCUGGCAAUAAGGACUCGUCUAGAGGUUUGCUGCGCAGGGGAGGAGGGAAGGUCCGGGGGCCCUGGGACCCUUUGCUGCAGUGCUUGCACCCGGAAAAAGCGUCUCCUCCAGCAACAAAAUACAAAGAAACUAAGGAAUUAAAAACAACUGCGUGCGGGCACAGUUGAAGCAAAUUGCGGACAACAAGAUACAAAGAGACCAAACGCCCAGUGUCCACUUCUGAACAACCAGGAGCCAAAGCUGGGAGCAGUGCCUGCCCCCUGCACAUGAUACUACCAGAGCCGGGGUACCUCCCGCCGACCCCGGGACCCACCCUCAGCCUCACCCGGUAUAAGGAGCCCCCUCAUCCUCCUCCUGUUGUUUGUUCUUACCCCCCACCCCACCCUCCGGCUGCAGCAGGGGCCCCAGUAAAGCCUUGCCCGAAUUUCCUGUCUGACCUCUAGUCAACUUCUGUAGGUUAGAGGAGGUCAAGAGCCCUGUUUGCUGACACCUGCCUUGCACGAGGAGCAACCCUGGGGCCCUGGAGCGGAGCCUGGUGUGUGACACCCCCCCCCCACCGCCGGGAGGGGCCGGCCCCGGGUGGGCGUCGGUGGCUGUGCUCAGGCCCCAGCUGGCUGCAGGGUGAAGCUGCCUGUUCAGGACUCGGCCUUUCUGCUCAGACACGUCCAUGCCCUGGAAUCCAGCCCAUGAACAGCCACCCAGGUUCUAGGCUGGAAGGAAAGAACUAGGGCUCCUGUGGGCAGGGUGCUUCUGAGCUGUGCCGGGGAACUGACCGGGUGGUCUCGGGAGAUCUCCAUGAGCCGUGCAGACAAGGCCUCCAGCAGCGCAGGGUCCUGCUGGCCUGGGGACCACAAGGACUGUGGAGAAGGAACCGCAGCUCCUCUACCUUGAAAGGAGCACUGCAGA